rnacentral:rRNA from 1 species
CAAGGCCUUGCGCUCUUUGAGCGGCCGAUGUCAGAUUAGCUAGUUGGUGAGGUAAAGGCUUACCAAGGCGACGAUCUGUAGCGGGUCUGAGAGGAUGAUCCGCCACACUGGAACUGAGACACGGUCCAGACUCCUACGGGAGGCAGCAGUGGGGAAUUUUGGACAAUGGGGGCAACCCUGAUCCAGCCAUGCCGCGUGAGUGAAGAAGGUCUUCUGGUUGUAAAGCUCUUUCGGCCGGGAAGAAAUCGCAUGGGCCAAUACCCUGUGUGGAUGACGGUACCGGAAUAAGAAGCACCGGCUAACUACGUGCCAGCAGCCGCGGUAAUACGUAGGGUGCGAGCGUUAAUCGGAAUUACUGGGCGUAAAGCGUGCGCAGGCGGUUUUGUAAGACAGGCGUGAAAUCCCCGGGCUUAACCUGGGAACUGCGUUUGUGACUGCAAGGCUAGAGUACGGCAGAGGGGGGUGGAAUUCCACGUGUAGCAGUGAAAUGCGUAGAGAUGUGGAGGAACACCAAUGGCGAAGGCAGCCCCCUGGGUCGAUACUGACGCUCAUGCACGAAAGCGUGGGUAGCAAACAGGAUUAGAUACCCUGGUAGUCCACGCCCUAAACUAUGUCAACUAGGUGUUGGGUGGGUAAAACCAUUUAGUACCGUAGCUAACGCGUGAAGUUGACCGCCUGGGGAGUACGGCCGCAAGGUUAAAACUCAAAGGAAUUGACGGGGACCCGCACAAGCGGUGGAUGAUGUGGAUUAAUUCGAUGCAACGCGAAAAACCUUACCUACCCUUGACAUGCCAGGAACUUGCCAGAGAUGGCUUGGUGCCCGAAAGGGAGCCUGGACACAGGUGCUGCAUGGCUGUCGUCAGCUCGUGUCGUGAGAUGUUGGGUUAAGUCCCGCAACGAGCGCAACCCUUGUCGUUAAUUGCCAUCAUUUAGUUGGGCACUUUAACGAGACUGCCGGUGACAAACCGGAGGAAGGUGGGGAUGACGUCAAGUCCUCAUGGCCCUUAUGGGUAGGGCUUCACACGUCAUACAAUGGUCGGUACAAAGGGUUGCCAAGCCGCGAGGCGGAGCCAAUCCCAGAAAGCCGAUCGUAGUCCGGAUUGCAGGCUGCAACUCGCCUGCAUGAAGUCGGAAUCGCUAGUAAUCGUGGAUCAGCAUGUCACGGUGAAUACGUUCCCGGGUCUUGUACACACCGCCCGUCACACCAUGGGAGCGGGUUCCGCCAGAAGUAGGUAGCCUAACCGCAAGGGGGGCGCG